rnacentral:rRNA from 1 species
AAUCCCGUGAACCAUCGAGUCUUUGAACGCAAGUUGCGCCCCAAGCCUUCUGGCUGAGGGCACGUCUGCCUGGGUGUCACAAAUGGUCGUCCCCAUCCUUUGCGGAUAAGGGACGGAAGUUGGUCUCCCGUGUGUUACCGCACGCGGUUGGCCUAAAUCUGAG